rnacentral:rRNA from 1 species
UAGGGAAUCUUCCGCAAUGGACGAAAGUCUGACGGAGCAACGCCGCGUGAGUGAAGAAGGAUUUCGGUUCGUAAAACUCUGUUGUUAGGGAAGAAAAAAUGUAUAGUAACUAUAUACAAAAGAGACGGUACCUAACCAUAAAGCCACGGCUAACUACGUGCCAGCAGCCGCGGUAAUACGUAGGUGGCAAGCGUUGUCCGGAAUUAUUGGGCGUAAAGCGCGCGCAGGUGGUUUAGAAAGUCUGAUGUGAAAGCCCACGGCUCAACCGUGGAGGGUCAUUGGAAACUAAUAAACUUGAGUGCAGGAGAGAAAAGUGGAAUUCCUAGUGUAGCGGUGAAAUGCGUAGAGAUUAGGAGGAACACCGGUGGCGAAAGCGGCUUUUUGGCCUGCAACUGACACUGAGGCGCGAAAGCGUGGGGAGCAAACAGG